GAUGAACGCUAGCGAUAGGCUUAACACAUGCAAGUCGAGGGGCAGCAUGGUCUUAGCUUGCUAAGACUGAUGGCGACCGGCGCACGGGUGCGUAACGCGUAUGCAACUUGCCUCACAGAGGGGGAUAACCCGUCGAAAGACGGACUAAUACCGCGUACACUCUAUUUUGGGCAUCCAAGGUAGAGGAAAUGAAAUUCGCUGUGAGAUAGGCAUGCGUCCCAUUAGCUAGUUGGUGAGGUAACGGCUCACCAAGGCGACGAUGGGUAGGGGAACUGAGAGGUUGAACCCCCACACUGGUACUGAGACACGGACCAGACUCCUACGGUAGGCAGCAGUGAGGAAUAUUGGUCAAUGGGCGAGGGCCUGAACCAGCCAAGUCGCGUGAAGGAUGACUGUCUUAUGGAUUGUAAACUUCUUUUGUAGGGGAAUAAAGAGGGGCACGUGUGCCCCAGUGAAUGUACCCUACGAAUAAGCAUCGGCUAACUCCGUG
rnacentral:rRNA from 1 species